rnacentral:rRNA from 1 species
GCAUUAAGGUUAAUAACCUUGGUGAUUGACGUUACUCGCAGAAGAAGCACCGGCUAACUCCGUGCCAGCAGCCGCGGUAAUACGGAGGGUGCAAGCGUUAUCCGGAUUCACUGGGUUUAAAGGGUGCGUAGGCGGACAUGUAAGUCUGUGGUGAAAUCUCCGAGCUUAACUCGGAAACUGCCGUGGAUACUAUAUGUCUUGAAUGUUGUGGAGGUUAGCGGAAUAUGUCAUGUAGCGGUGAAAUGCUUAGAUAUGACAUAGAACACCGAUUGCGAAGGCAGCUGGCUACACAACUAUUGACGCUGAGGCACGAAAGCGUGGGGAUCAAACAGGAUUAGAUACCCUGGUAGUCCACGCCCUAAACGAUGAUUACUCGACAUUUGCGAUAUACAGUAAGUGUCUGAGCGAAAGCAUUAAGUAAUCCACCUGGGAAGUACGACCGCAAGGUUGAAACUCAAAUGAAUUGAAUUGACGG